rnacentral:rRNA from 1 species
ACGCUGGCGGCGCGCUUAUGCAUGCAAGUCGAACGAUUGAGAGUGGUCUUCGGACUGUUCAAGAUAGUGGCAAACGGCUGAGUAACACGUAAGUAACCAACCCUUGGAUGGGGGACAACUCCGAGAAAUCGGAGCUAAUACCGCGUACGAUGGUGUCACACAAGUGGCAUUAUGAAAGCUGCACUUCGGUGUGGUGUCCAUGGACGGGCUUGCGGCCUAUCAGGUAGUUGGUAAGGUAAUGGCCUACCAAGCCUAAGACGGGUAACCGGUGUGAGAGCAUGACUGGUCAGAGGGGGACUGCGACACGGCCCCCACUCCUACGGGAGGCAGCAGCAGGGAAUCUUGCGCAAUGGGCGAAAGCCUGACGCAGCGACGCCGCGUGGAGGAAGACGGUUUUCGGAUUGUAAACUCCUUUUCUGGAGGAAGAGAAUGGACGGUACUUCAGGAAUAAGCCCCGGCUAACUACGUGCCAGCAGCCGCGGUAAGACGUAGGGGGCAAGCGUUGUUCGGAUUUAUUGGGCGUAAAGGGCAUGUAGGCGGAUAAGAAAGUCCACGGUGAAAGAUCUCGGCUUAACCGAGGGGUAUUCGUGGAAACUUCUUGUCUUGAGGGCAGCAGAGGCGAGUGGAAUUCCCGGAGUAGCGGUGAAAUGCGUAGAUUUCGGGAGGAACACCAGUGGCGAAGGCGACUCGCUGGGCUGUUUCUGACGCUGAGGUGCUAAAGCGUGGGGAGCGAACCGGAUUAGAUACCCGGGUAGUCCACGCCCUAAACGAUGGAUACUAGGUAUGGGGGGCACCGACCCCCUCCGUGCCGAAGCUUACGCGUUAAGUAUCCCGCCUGGGGAGUACGGCCGCAGGGCUAAACCUCAAAUGGGAUGUGC